rnacentral:tRNA from 1 species
GCCUGGCUGGCUCAGUGGGAAGGGCGUGUGACUCUUGAUCUCAGGGUCGUGAGUUCAAGCCCCAUGUUGGGUG